AUUCUUCCUUUGGUAGCAUAUAUACUAAAACUGGAACAAUACAGAGAAGAUUAUCGUGGCCUCUGUGCAGUUAUGGCACACACAUUCAUGAAGCAUUGCAUAUUUUC
ensembl:snRNA U6 U6 spliceosomal RNA